rnacentral:rRNA from 1 species
UAACGGGAGGCAGCAGUGGGGAAUAUUGCACAAUGGGCGCAAGCCUGAUGCAGCCAUGCCGCGUGUAUGAAGAAGGCCUUCGGGUUGUAAAGUACUUUCAGCAGUGAGGAAGGUGGGUAUGUUAAUAGCAUAUUCAUUUGACGUUAGCUGCAGAAGAAGCACCGGCUAACUCCGUGCCAGCAGCCGCGGUAAUACGGAGGGUGCGAGCGUUAAUCGGAAUUACUGGGCGUAAAGCGCAUGCAGGUGGUUUGUUAAGUCAGAUGUGAAAGCCCGGGGCUCAACCUCGGAAUUGCAUUUGAAACUGGACAAACUAGAGUACUGUAGAGGGGGUAGAAUUUCAGGUGUAGCGGUGAAAUGCGUAGAGAUCUGAAGGAAUACCGGUGGCGAAGGCGGCCCCCUGGACAGAUACUGACACUCAGAUGCGAAAGCGUGGGGAGCAAACAGGAUUAGAUACCCUGGUAG